rnacentral:rRNA from 1 species
CANGUCGAACGGCAGCGGGGGCUUCGGCCUGCCGGCGAGUGGCGAACGGGUGAGUAAUGCAUCGGAACGUGCCCAUGUCGUGGGGGAUAACUACGCGAAAGCGUAGCUAAUACCGCAUACGCCCUGAGGGGGAAAGCGGGGGAUUCUUCGGAACCUCGCGCGAUUGGAGCGGCCGAUGUCAGAUUAGCUAGUUGGUGAGGUAAAGGCUCACCAAGGCGACGAUCUGUAGCGGGUCUGAGAGGAUGAUCCGCCACACUGGGACUGAGACACGGCCCAGACUCCUACGGGAGGCAGCAGUGGGGAAUUUUGGACAAUGGGCGCAAGCCUGAUCCAGCCAUGCCGCGUGAGUGAAGAAGGCCUUCGGGUUGUAAAGCUCUUUCGGCCGGGAAGAAAUCGCAUUCUCUAAUAUAGGAUGUGGAUGACGGUACCGGACUAAGAAGCACCGGCUAACUACGUGCCAGCAGCCGCGGUAAUACGUAGGGUGCGAGCGUUAAUCGGAAUUACUGGGCGUAAAGCGUGCGCAGGCGGUUUUGUAAGACAGAUGUGAAAUCCCCGGGCUUAACCUGGGAACUGCGUUUGUGACUGCAAGGCUAGAGUACGGCAGAGGGGGGUGGAAUUCCUGGUGUAGCANUGAAAUGCGUANAUAUCAGGAGGAACACCGAUGGCGAAGGCAGCCCCCUGGGCCUGUACUGACG